GAUAAAGAUAGCGGCCUCGGAUGAAAAUAUUGAAUGUUUUCGCGAAUAUUUUGCUGUUGGCUAUCGUGCACCUGACCUAACAUUUUUUAAAAGUUCUUGCACGGGUCAGGACAAAAAAUAAGCCAUCUUGAAUAUCAGUGAUACCACUAUAACCACAAUGCAAAGCGCUGCGAAAACGUAAUAAGGGCAAUCUAGUAUUGGAUACCAACGUUAUUAAACAAGCGCACUACAUAGUGUCUAAAAAGUGAACCUUUGAAAAUUGCCUUAUUAGAGACGGACAAGUGGUCCCUCUUUUAAUCGUAAUCACAGACGGGCAAUUAAGUAGUCGAACAACUUCAGAUGACUAGUUGUUCGUCUAAAAUUUUGUCCGACACGUUUUCACAUCUGAUGAUUUGUCCGACUAAGAGACGACUUUAAGACGAUUUGUUCGUCUAAACAAAAACGACUUGUCCGUCUUUUAAUGUGACAACGGCUAAUUGCUGUUUUCGAAUUUAAUUCGUUGAAGGCCAUUACAUAAAGUAACGGAGUGUCAACUUAGCUACCACGAUAAUUGUCUUUCCAUUCACAGUUGAGCACCUACACGCGUAAAAAUCUCAUUUGCCAACAAAGACGCGUUCGCACUGUUUGUUCCCAGUUGUUGACAAGUCUGGAACAAGUUGUUAUCAUCUUGUAACGAAGUUGAUAAGGCCAACCAUAGAUAUAGGAGAUCUAGAUUGCUAACGCAUACCUAGCGCAGGCUGGGCCUACAUGAUAAAUCCAAGAUGGCGGUACAACAGGGCAAAAAGACUAUAGAUUCUAUUACGA
rnacentral:lncRNA from 1 species